UGGAGGUGUUGGAGUAGGCAGAAAUAUGUUUGGUUGCUGCACGUUUUGCUGUGGAGCAGGCUGGUACGGUUGCUGCAUGUUUUGCUGUGGAGCAGGCUGGUAUGGUUGCUGCAUGUUUUGCUGUGGAGCAGGCUGGUACGGGGCAGGAGCAGCAAAGCCACUAUUGUAUGAAGAACCAAAUGGUUGUUGAUAAUUCGCAGCAUAAGGACUGUUUGAAAUGCUAGGCUGCGGCUUGGAUGAUUGCUC
rnacentral:lncRNA from 1 species